rnacentral:rRNA from 1 species
AGAGUUUGAUCCUGGCUCAGAACAAACGCUGGCGGCGUGUCUUAAGCAUGCAAGUCGAGCGGCAAGGCGGGGCGACCCGCCCUAGAGCGGCGGACUGGUGAGUAACGCGUGGGUAAUCUACCUUGGGCAUGGGGAUAGCCAUUAGAAAUAGUGGGUAAUACCGAAUACGCUCGCGGGGGGAAGGGUCCUGUGAGGAAAGGGUGCUACGGCACCGGCCUGAGAUGAGCUCGCGUCCCAUUAGCUAGUUGGUGAGGUAAGGGCCCACCAAGGCGAUGAUGGGUAGCCGGCCUGAGAGGGUGUACGGCCACACUGGGACUGAGAUACGGCCCAGACUCCUACGGGAGGCAGCAGCUAAGAAUAUUCCGCAAUGGACGAAGGUCUGACGGAGCGACGCCGCGUGGAUGAAGAAGGCCGAAAGGUUGUAAAGUUCUUUUGCGAGGGAAGAAUAACCGCAGGAGGGAAUGCCUGUGGGAUGACAUGAACUUGCGAAUAAGCCCCGGCCAACUACGUGCCAGCAGCCGCGGUAACACGUAGGGGGCGAGCGUUGUUCGGAAUUACUGGGCGUAAAGGGCAUGUAGGCGGUCUGGUAAGCCUGGCGUGAAAGACCACAGCUUAACUGUGGGGUUGCGUUGGGAACUGCUGGGCUUGAGUGACGGAGAGGGAGCUGGAAUUCCUGGUGUAGGGGUGAAAUCUGUAGAUAUCAGGAAGAACACCGAUGGCGAAGGCAAGCUCCUGGCCGAUGACUGACGCUGAGGUGCGAAAGUGUGGGGAUCAAACAGGAUUAGAUACCCUGGUAGUCCACACGGUAAACGAUGUGCACUAGGUGCUGGGGCGGUAGCCUCGGUGCCGGAGCGAACGUGGUAAGUGCACCGCCUGGGGAGUAUGCUCGCAAGGGUGAAACUCAAAUGAAUUGACGG